CGCGCCUCCCAUUUUGAUGCCAACUUUCUCUAUGCUCAAGAGGUUUUUGCAUGAGAUUUUUUUACACCAAAGAGGUCUUCUCUCUCCCUUUCUUACAUCCAAAUCUAAUACGGUUUUGAUAAGAAAAAGGUUUUAAAAUUAGAUUUCAAAACAUUCCUUAUUAAGAAAAUCUAUUCUUAUCCAAAUCACUCCACAUGUCAACUUAUUUUUUUCUCCUUAUGUGUGUGACAUUUUGAG
rnacentral:lncRNA from 1 species